GUGGGACAGAAACUUCUAUCAACAACACUCACAUGGGAAACUGCCAUACAGUCUCAGCUCACAGCUAUAUGAGAGCAGCAGCAGCCUUCCUCACCCGGGUUUGCACCGCCUGUGUUCUCUAUGCAGACAUGCUACACAAUGAUGGCCAGCCUUACACUUCAAUCUCAAUGUCAGCAGACUUGAAGAAUGCCGGCAUAUGAAGAUCACUGGACUAAUGAGACAUCUGAGGAUAAAGGAAAAAUCAUCCAGAGAAAAUGCCCCAAGAAAAAGAGUCAAUUAGCUUAUCGGUAUAUUACAUUUCCAACAGGAUAUAAUUUCAAAAAAUCUUCCCAAACUUUGUUUCUUCUGUUCUCUACAAACUUAUAAUGCAAAUGGUCUUUUUAUAGUUCCAGUCCAAUUAAAAAUUAAAGCUGACUUUGAAGUUGGA